AGUGAACGCUGGCGGUAGGCCUAACACAUGCAAGUCGAACGGCAGCACAGUAAGAGCUUGCUCUUACGGGUGGCGAGUGGCGGACGGGUGAGGAAUACAUCGGAAUCUACUUUUUCGUGGGGGAUAACGUAGGGAAACUUACGCUAAUACCGCAUACGACCUACGGGUGAAAGCAGGGGAUCUUCGGACCUUGCGCGAUUACAUGAGCCGAUGUCGGAUUAGCUAGUUGGCGGGGUAAAGGCCCACCAAGGCGACGAUCCGUAGCUGGUCUGAGAGGAUGAUCAGCCACACUGGAACUGAGACACGGUCCAGACUCCUACGGGAGGCAGCAGUGGGGAAUAUUGGACAAUGGGCGCAAGCCUGAUCCAGCCAUACCGCGUGGGUGAAGAAGGCCUUCGGGUUGUAAAGCCCUUUUGUUGGGAAAGAAAAGCAGCAGGUUAAUACCCCGCUGUUCUGACGGUACCCAAAGAAUAAGCACCGGCUAACUUCGUG
rnacentral:rRNA from 1 species